AUUGAAAUGACACUAUCGGCUGAAAAGCCACCAAAGACCGGCUCGAGUGCCACUGUCAGUUAAGUCGUCUUCUGUCAAGUAUACUUUCAUUAAUUUUCACACAAAGAAGAUAGCAUAUUUUGUGCAUUUGUCAGACAGUCACAAUCGGUCAUUUAAUGUUAAUGACAGGAUAUGACUGCAUGCAUCAAAGCAUUUGGGCCAAAAGUCUACAACCCAUUAAUUUGAGAAACCAAGUCCCCAGGAUUAUGAAAAGAGAGACAACACUUUCCCAGGGACAAUUGAGAAAAGGAACAGGGUAAGUUACAGACUAGGUCAUGAUACACCUCGUCACCAUAUCAACAACUAGGGCCUAUAUUAAAAUCACCCAGACUAGUCAUUCAAAAUGGCAUGGUCCCUGGUUGUUACCGUAGCAUUCAAUACAACAUAAAGAAACAGUACAGACAUAUUUGUAAAUCAGCUAGUAUAAAGGCUGGUCUUGGCCAUCUUUUUCAUGCAGGACCUUAACGAUAUCAUCGCACAAUUCCAACAUCUACACCUGUGGUAGAGGAGAUGGACUGGGUAUGGGCAGUCACCAGAAGUGUACACACACACACAGGGUGGAAUGGACAGGACAUGAAACGGCUUUUUCUGUUAAAACAGAUUGAUCAAGAAAUGGGAGUGACCUGCUGCCAUGAAGAGGAACUCAAUGAGGAAAUGGACUGGUUUUGAUGUCUUCACACAUUCUAAAAAAUUAAGAAAAACCAUGGAAUGAGAAGUUGUGUCAACUUUUGACUGGUACUACAGUUGAAGUCGGACGUUUUCAUACACUUAGGUUGGAGCCAUUAACUCGUUUUUGCAAGCCGAAGAACACCAUCCCAACCGUGAAGCACGGCGGUGGCAGCAUAAUGUUGUGGGGGUGCUUUGCUGCAGGAGGGACUGGUGCACUUCACAAAAUAGAUGGCAUCAUGAGGGAGGAAAAUUAAGUGGAUAUAUUGAAGCAAAAUCUCAAGACAUCAGUCGGGAAGAUAAAGCUUGGUCGCAAAUGGGUCUUCCAAAUGGACAAUGACCCCAAGCAUACUUACACAUUUGUGGCAAAAUGGCUUAAGAAAAACAAAGUCAAGGUAUUGGAGUGGCCAUCACAAAGUCCUGACCUCAACCCUAUAGAAAAUAUGUGGGCAGAACUGAAAAAGCUCAUCUGAGCAAGGAGGCCUACAAACCUGACUCAGUUACACCAGCUCUGUGAGGAGGAAUGGGCCAAAAUUCACCCAACUUAUUGUGGGAAGCUUGUGGAAGGCUACCCAAAACGUUUGACUCAAGUUAAACAAUUUAAAGGCAAUGCUACCAAAUACUAAUUGAGCGUAUGUAAACUUCUGGUCCACUGGGAAUGUGAUGAAAGAAAAUUGCUGGAUAUUGGCGGGAACUAGAACACGCCGUCGUACACGUCGAUCCAGAGCCUUCCAAACAUGUUCAAUGGGUGACAUGUCUGGUGAGCAUGCAGCUGAGAGGAAUUGUGUACAGAUCCUUGCGACAUGGGGUCAUACAUUAUCAUGCUGAAACAUGAGGUGAUGGUGGCGAAUGAAUGGCACCAAAAUGGGCUUCAGGAUCUCGUCAUAGUAUCUCUGUGCAUUCAAAUUCCCAUCGAUAAAAUACAAUUAUCUUAUGCCUGCCCAUACCAUAACCAAACUGCCACCAUGGGGCACUCUGUUCACAACAUUGACAACAGCAAACCGGUCGCCCACACGACGCCAUACACGUGGUCUGCGCUUGUGAGGCCGGUUAGAAGAACAGCCAAAUUCUCUAAAACAACAGAGGUGGCUUAUGGUUGAGAGAUGAACAUUGAAUUAUCUAGAAACCACUCUGGUGGACAUUCCUGCAGUCAGCAUGCCAAUUGCACACUCCCUCAACUUGAGACAUCUGUGGCAUUGUGUUGUGUGACAAAUCUCUGCAUUUUAGAGUGGCCUUUUAUUGUCCCCAGCACAAGAUGCACCUGUGUAAUGAUCAUGCUGUUUAAACAGCUUCUUGUUAUGCCACACCUAUCAGGUGGAUGGAUUAUCUUGGCAAAGGGGAAAUGCUCACAAACAGGGAGGAAACACAUUUGUGCACAAAAUGUGAGUAAAAUAAGCUUUUUGUGCAUACUGAAAAUUUCUGGGAUAUUUUAUUUCAGCUCAUUAAGCACAGGACCAACACUUUACAUGUUGUGUUUAUAUUUUUGUUUAGUGUAUACACAUUUUAUUGACACGGUAUAUUUUACAUUACAUUUUUUACUUUAUUUUGUUUUUAGUCCCAC
rnacentral:lncRNA from 1 species